rnacentral:rRNA from 1 species
UACAGAGGUCUCAAGCGUUGUUCGGAUUCAUUGGGCGUAAAGGGCGCGUAGGCGGUGAAGUAAGUCUGGUGUGAAAUCUAGGAGCUUAACUCCUAAACUGCAUUCGAUACUGCCGUGCUUGAGGACUGGAGAGGAGACUGGAAUUUACGGUGUAGCGGUGAAAUUCGUAGAUAUUGGGAAGAACACCGGUGGCGAAGGCGGCGACCUGGUCCGAUACUGACGCUGAGGCGCGAAAGCGUGGGGAGCAAACAGG